AACCGUUGGCAAAACGGAAACUAGUGACCGUAUCUGGAUACUGAACGAAUGACCUUUUCCGUAAUCCACAACACAAUACACAAGUUUCUUUCUCACCGAGGUCUCGGAUUCCCUUAUUAUGAAAGAAAUGGAAAACUGUUGAAAGCUAAUGCUGCAACUUUCUUCACAAUCCGGCUAGUAUACGCUUAACGGAAACUCUGCACCUCGUACAUUUAGCAACUCUUCCUGAUUAGCAAAUUGCGUUGCAGUGUGUUAAGAAAAAAUGGACCGAUAAUUGUAAAUACAACUGAAAUAUAUAAAAAUAUAUAUAUAUAUAUAUAUAUAUAGAAAGAUAGCGUACGCACGUAUACGCAGAGAGAUUCAAGAAACAAAAACAAAGGAACAGAAAAGAAAAGAAAAAAAGUAUAUGCCACCUUUUUACACUAAAGAUGCUGAACGUAUAAAGACCCAGAUAGGUUUGUAGGUAUGUGUAUCUAUUGAAGAUUCAAAUAUUCAUCCAAAGGUGAAAUAGCCAGCAGCGUCAACAUCGGUUCUACGACUUUUUGGACCCAGAACGAGAGACGGAAUAGAAAUAGAUGGCAGGAUAAGAAUGUCUCCUAUACAUGAUAAAGCAGUGCAUUGAGUGCUUAUUCCGUUUUAUAGAAUCUCAGCAUUACACUAUGCAGGAUAAAGAUUUUUGCGGAAGAGUAAGGAUCAUUUCGGUAGAAGGUGAUAGGAAUAGGCAAGCCUCACCAUAUUAUAUAAAUAAUGUCUACCUAAAACAAAGAGGACUUGAGUGAAAUGGAUUGAAUGGAAUUUUUUUUUUCAGAUGAUGAUGGACAUGAAAAGAGAGAAUUGAGAAAACCCUCGUAUUUUUAUUCCUUCGCGAAUACACUUAAUCAGGUGCAUCAGGAUGUACAGGGUGUAAACAUAUGAUUAGUUAAAAAUGGACAAGGUGGUGAUUUCUCUACAAACGACGCAACCGGACUCAUCUUUGUGAGACAAAUGUUUACUUGACUUAAUUUUGUACUUGUUAAAUGGCUUACAUUUUGCAAUUGACAGGUUUUUACGUGUCAUCAAAGGGAAUCAAUGGAAUUUUGGCUUAGAUUGAGAGGAGGGAAGUUGGAACACUUGGAAUUUAAAGCUCGCUAGUCCCUUUAAACCGACGGGUCCGCAGCGCUGCUUAGCUUUAAAUCCCAUUUAACGUGGUACAAGAACAUGGUUGACUAUUGAUGGAUUGCGUUGAGAGAAUUCUUAUAAAUACGUAAAAAACGUUUAAUGCACCCUUGUGUGAGAGGAAUUUGAUUGCUUUAAACGCUUAUACGGAUCGGAGUCGAAAUUAAGUGCUAAAACUUCCCUAUUUGCAAACCAACUUUCUUACCUCCUUUGCCAACAAUGUAGGACUGUGAUUGGGUUAAAAGUUUUUUUUGGCCGUACUCGAAAGAGCCGUUUGACCAUUGGUCGGUAGGCGUGUAUUUGAAUAACGUCUUAAUAUGAUUCGCUAGAUAGGAAUCAACCCUAACCCUUACGACGAAAUUGCAAUAGGAGACACUUUUGGGUAUAUAAGCUGAAAGAUGGCAGGGAUGGAACGUAAUCCAGUAUUAAAACCUAUCCUGUAGAAAGGAAAAGAAAUUU